AUAACUGGAAAUUUGUUCUUCUUAAUCGCUUCCCCUGAACAGAGAUAAUUUGAUAACCAAUAGGAUGUGGCAGAAAUGAUAGAGUGUGCUUUUCCAAAGCCAGCUCAUAAAAGACCUCAUGACUUCCACCUUGCUCUUUUCUCUGUCUUGGAUCACUUUGUUUUGGGGAAGUCAGCUGCCAUGUCAUAAGGACACUUAGUCAGCCCUGUGGUGAAGUCUAUAUGGUGAAGAAUUGAGCCCUCUCACCAACCACCAGUGCCAACUUUUAGGCAGCUGAGCGAGCCUUGGAAGCAGAUCCUUCAGCCCCGCCACACCUUCAGAUGACUGCAGUCCCAACCAACAUUGUGACAGCAAUGUCAUAAGAGACGCUGAGCCAGAACCACCAGGAACAAGUCUACAAGAUGGGAGAUGAAGGUGUAGAGCAACCCCACGCCCUAGAGACUUAUUCAGCUGGUGGAAACGGAUAAUGGGAGAAUGGUGUGUAGUGAACAGUUGGAGACAAAAGGUCUCAGUGGAAAAAAGAAUUUACUGCAGAUGUUUCAAAUGAAGCAAUUUAAAUAAAGGGACUGCGUUAGAGCUGUAAACGCUUGCUAGAGCAGCAGCAUCUGGAGUCUGAUGCGAAUGCAGACUCCCAGACCCCAGCCCAUUGAUUUAGAAUCUGCAUUUUAAGAGGAUCCCCAAGUGAUUCAUGUGUGCUAACAUUUGAGAAGCAUUGAAGUAGGCAAAGUUAGAAGAACACAUACAAGAUGGCAAGAUGCCCCCAAAUUAAUAACAUUAAGAAGUCAUUACCACUCCUAGGGCUGAAGGAACAAAGGGAUGAAAUUUGGAAACUGAAAUUAGUGAAUAUAUUAAACACCACUGAACUGCAUACUUUAAA